CUGUUAUUCAGCCACUCACCUUCUGCAGUGGUCAGUACCUAUCAAAAGUGGUCCAAGGAAAGAAAAGCUGUGAACCGGUGACAAGGUCAUGGAUGGCCAAGGCUCAUUGACGCAUGUCGUCCGAUCCAACAGAAAAGCAGUCAGAUUGCUGAAGAAGGUUCUGGGUAAACAUGGUGAUGAUGAAGAUGA